UACGUAGGUGACAAGCGUUGUCCGGAUUUACUGGGCGUAAAGAGCGCGCAGGCGGUCGUUCAAGUCGAGUGUGAAAGCCCCCGGCUCAACUGGGGAGGGUCACUCGAUACUGAUCGACUCGAAGGCAGGAGAGGGAAGUGGAAUUCCCGGUGUAGUGGUGAAAUGCGCAGAUAUCGGGAGGAACACCGGUGGCGAAGGCGGUUCUCUGGGCCUGUACUGACGCUGAGGAGCGAAAGCGUGGGGAGCGAACAGG
rnacentral:rRNA from 1 species